rnacentral:lncRNA from 1 species
UUUUUUUUCCGGUCACCAUCCAAAACCCCCAUGGCCAUUGAUCAAACUCUCGAUUAACCUCCGCCGGUGGAACAUCGGGCCUUCCUAACCACCGGCUGCCUUCUCCCGACCAUUGGUGUCCCGAUGACUGCUGGUCUUGAGGGAGAUUGGUUGAAGAAGGCCGUCCAAAACGUCGUUCCACUCCAUCGCAUCUUAGCCGACGGCCAUCGGAAACAUGCAAUCGGCGGAACACUACCCUCUUGCCGAGGCUCUCGGCUGGUUUUUCGAUGGGUGUGCUUGCGAUCUAUCAAUUGUUAAGAGAUUGAUGGAGGGAGGAAUUAAAUUGUGGCUCCUUCUCCAAAAAAUAUGAUCGAUGGCUGUUGGAAAAAGUCUGGAUCGACGGACCGCCGCCGUCUC